UGGCUCAGUGGAUAGAGCGUUGGCCUGCGAACUCAAGGGUCACAGGUUCGAUUCCAGU
rnacentral:tRNA from 1 species